rnacentral:rRNA from 4 species
GUACAAGGUCUCCGUUGGUGAACCAGCGGAGGGAUCAUUA